rnacentral:rRNA from 1 species
AUUUUGGACAAUGGGCGAAAGCCUGAUCCAGCCAUGCCGCGUGCGGGAAGAAGGCCUUCGGGUUGUAAACCGCUUUUGUCAGGGAAGAAACGGCUUGAUCUAAUACAUUGAGCUAAUGACGGUACCUGAAGAAUAAGCACCGGCUAACUACGUGCCAGCAGCCGCGGUAAUACGUAGGGUGCAAGCGUUAAUCGGAAUUACUGGGCGUAAAGCGUGCGCAGGCGGCUUUGCAAGACAGAUGUGAAAUCCCCGGGCUCAACCUGGGAACUGCAUUUGUGACUGCAUGGCUAGAGUGCGGCAGAGGGGGAUGGAAUUCCGCGUGUAGCAGUGAAAUGCGUAGAUAUGCGGAGGAACACCGAUGGCGAAGGCAAUCCCCUGGGCCUGCACUGACGCUCAUGCACGAAAGCGUGGGGAGCAAACAGG